AUACAUGCAAGUCGAGCGAACAGACAAGGAGCUUGCUCCUUUGACGUUAGCGGCGGACGGGUGAGUAACACGUGGGUAACCUACCUAUAAGACUGGGAUAACUUCGGGAAACCGGAGCUAAUACCGGAUAAUAUUUCGAACCGCAUGGUUCGAUAGUGAAAGAUGGUUUUGCUAUCACUUAUAGAUGGACCCGCGCCGUAUUAGCUAGUUGGUAAGGUAACGGCUUACCAAGGCGACGAUACGUAGCCGACCUGAGAGGGUGAUCGGCCACACUGGAACUGAGACACGGUCCAGACUCCUACGGGAGGCAGCAGUAGGGAAUCUUCCGCAAUGGGCGAAAGCCUGACGGAGCAACGCCGCGUGAGUGAUGAAGGUCUUCGGAUCGUAAAACUCUGUUAUUAGGGAAGAACAUACGUGUAAGUAACUAUGCACGUCUUGACGGUACCUAAUCAGAAAGCCACGGCUAACUACGUGCCAGCAGCCGCGGUAAUACGUAGGUGGCAAGCGUUAUCCGGAAUUAUUGGGCGUAAAGCGCGCGUAGGCGGUUUUUUAAGUCUGAUGUGAAAGCCCACGGCUCAACCGUGGAGGGUCAUUGGAAACUGGAAAACUUGAGUGCAGAAGAGGAAAGUGGAAUUCCAUGUGUAGCGGUGAAAUGCGCAGAGAUAUGGAGGAACACCAGUGGCGAAGGCGACUUUCUGGUCUGUAACUGACGCUGAUGUGCGAAAGCGUGGGGAUCAAACAGGAUUAGAUACCCUGGUAGUCCACGCCGUAAACGAUGAGUGCUAAGUGUUAGGGGGUUUCCGCCCCUUAGUGCUGCAGCUAACGCAUUAAGCACUCCGCCUGGGGAGUACGACCGCAAGGUUGAAACUCAAAGGAAUUGACGGGGACCCGCACAAGCGGUGGAGCAUGUGGUUUAAUUCGAAGCAACGCGAAGAACCUUACCAAAUCUUGACAUCCUUUGACAACUCUAGAGAUAGAGCCUUCCCCUUCGGGGGACAAAGUGACAGGUGGUGCAUGGUUGUCGUCAGCUCGUGUCGUGAGAUGUUGGGUUAAGUCCCGCAACGAGCGCAACCCUUAAGCUUAGUUGCCAUCAUUAAGUUGGGCACUCUAAGUUGACUGCCGGUGACAAACCGGAGGAAGGUGGGGAUGACGUCAAAUCAUCAUGCCCCUUAUGAUUUGGGCUACACACGUGCUACAAUGGACAAUACAAAGGGCAGCGAAACCGCGAGGUCAAGCAAAUCCCAUAAAGUUGUUCUCAGUUCGGAUUGUAGUCUGCAACUCGACUACAUGAAGCUGGAAUCGCUAGUAAUCGUAGAUCAGCAUGCUACGGUGAAUACGUUCCCGGGUCUUGUACACACCGCCCGUCACACCACGAGAGUUUGUAACACCCGAAGCCGGUGGAGUAACCAUUUGGAGCUAGCCGUCGAA
rnacentral:rRNA from 1 species